ensembl:lncRNA
CGCGAGAUUACCGCACGCAUCUCCGGCGCUGAUAACGUUCUCUCUCUCCUGCUGCUGAUUGUUAUUCAUCAUACAAAAUGGCUUCUCUGUGUUUUUGUUCUCUAAUUCAUCUAUUCGAAGCCAAAAGAUUACGGCCACCUCUCUCUUAGCUUUCUUUGUACCCAGCAGAACGAUAGCUUCCUACCCAAUGCAAAAUGCAAUGUGAGCUGUUGUAGCAACCUUCAAAAGUGAACACACAAGAUCAGUAAAGGUUGCCCGCUUCACCUUUAUCGCCCAGCGAGCCGUUGGACAAUGUCUGGUUCUGGAGAUCUGCCAGGUUAGGUUUAUUGAGUGUUCUUUGUGUUUCAGGUUCAUUCAAUACAAGACUGACUUCUCACCUCACUUCUCAGUGUACUGUUUUUAUUCAUGAAACAGACUAUACAAUGUUGUGUUUCACAUCGGGAGGAUGUUCUGUAUGGUUUUUAUUUCCACCAGGAUUUUUGCUUUACAC